rnacentral:rRNA from 1 species
CGGCGUGCCUAACACAUGCAAGUCGAGCGGCAUUCGGAUGAAGUUUCGGCGGAUUCCGAUGACAGCGGCGGACGGGUGAGUAACGCGUAGGCAAUCUGCCCCUCACACAGGGAUAGCCCGGCGAAAGCUGAAUUAAUACCUGAUGACGCGGCGAGGUCACAUGGCCUUGCCGCCAAAGAUUCAUCGGUGAGGGAUGAGCCUGCGUCUGAUUAGCUAGUUGGCGAGGUAACGGCCCACCAAGGCAACGAUCAGUAGCCGACCUGAGAGGGUAAUCGGCCACAUUGGAACUGAGACACGGUCCAAACUCCUACGGGAGGCAGCAGUGGGGAAUAUUGCACAAUGGGCGCAAGCCUGAUGCAGCAACGCCGCGUGAGCGAUGAAGGUCUUCGGAUCGUAAAGCUCUGUCCUUGGGGACGAAGAAGUGACGGUACCUGAGGAGGAAGCCCCGGCUAACUACGUGCCAGCAGCCGCGGUAAUACGUAGGGGGCGAGCGUUAUCCGGAAUUAUUGGGCGUAAAGAGUACGUAGGUGGUUCCGUAAGCGGGGGGUGAAAGCCCGGGGCUCAACUCCGGCGAGCCUUCCGAACUGCGGGACUUGAGUGCAGGAGGGGAAAGUGGAACUCCAUGUGUAGCGGUGAAAUGCGUAGAUAUAUGGAAGAACACCGGUGGCGAAGGCGACUUUCUGGACUGUAACUGACACUGAGGUACGAAAGCGUGGGGAGCAAACAGGAUUAGAUACCCUGGUAGUCCACGCCGUAAACGAUGAGCACUAGAUGUUGGGGCCGCAAGGCCUCGGCGUCGAAGUUAACGCAUUAAGUGCUCCGCCUGGGGAGUACGUACGCAAGUAUGAAACUCAAAGGAAUUGACGGGGACCCGCACAAGCAGCGGAGCAUGUGGUUUAAUUCGAAGCAACGCGAAGAACCUUACCAGGACUUGACAUCCCUCUGAAAGGCCGGCUAAACCCGGCCCCCCUUCGGGCAGAGGUGACAGGUGGUGCAUGGUUGUCGUCAGCUCGUGUCGUGAGAUGUUGGGUUAAGUCCCGCAACGAGCGCAACCCUUGUCUUUAGUUGCCAUCAGGCUAUGCUGGGCACUCUAGAGAGACUGCCGGGGACAACUCGGAGGAAGGUGGGGAUGACGUCAAAUCAUCAUGCCCCUUAUGUUCUGGGCUACACACGUGCUACAAUGGCUGGUACAGAGAGACGCAAUGCCGCGAGGCGGAGCCAAACUCUAAAGCCAGUCCCAGUUCGGACUGUAGGCUGCAACUCGCCUACACGAAGUCGGAGUUGCUAGUAAUCGCGGAUCAGCACGCCGCGGUGAAUGCGUUCCCGGGUCU